CAAUAGCGUAUAUUAAAGUUGUUGCGGUUAAAAAGCUCGUAGUUGGAUUUCUGCUGAGAACGACCGGUCCACCCUCUGGGUGUGUAUCUGGCUCUUUCCUGGCAUCUUCUUGGUGAACGUUGCUGCACUUGACUGUGUGGAGCGCUACCCAGGACUUUUACUUUGAGGAAAUUAGAGUGUUUCAAGCAGGCAUACGCCUUGAAUACAUUAGCAUGGAAUAAUAAGAUAGGACCUCGGUUCUAUUUUGUUGGUUUCUAGAGCUGAGGUAAUGAUUAAUAGGGAUAGUUGGGGGCAUUCGUAUUUAACUGUCAGAGGUGAAAUUCUUGGAUUUGUUAAAGACGGACUACUGCGAANGNAUUUGCNAAGGAUGUUUNCAUUG
rnacentral:rRNA from 1 species